rnacentral:rRNA from 1 species
GGGGGAUAUUGCACAAUGGAGGAAACUCUGAUGCAGCGACGCCGCGUGAGGGAAGAAGGUCUUCGGAUUGUAAACCUCUGUCCCUGGUGACGAUAAUGACGGUAGCCAGGGAGGAAGCCACGGCUAACUACGUGCCAGCAGCCGCGGUAAUACGUAGGUGGCAAGCGUUGUCCGGAAUUACUGGGUGUAAAGGGAGCGUAGGCGGGUGCGCAAGUUGAAUGUCAAAUCUACCGGCUUAACUGGUAGCCGCGUUCAAAACUGCGUAUCUUGAGUGAAGUAGAGGCAGGCGGAAUUCCUAGUGUAGCGGUGAAAUGCGUAAAUAUUAGGAGGAACACCAGUGGCGAAGGCGGCCUGCUGGGCUUUAACUGACGCUGAGGCUCGAAAGCGUGGGUAGCAAAC